UGCGGAGUAGAGCAGUUUGGUAGCUUGCAAGGCUCAUAACCUUGAGGUCGGUGGUUCAAAUCCAUCCUCCGCAUCCA
rnacentral:tRNA from 1 species